rnacentral:misc_RNA from 1 species
CAAGACCUUGUACCUGGUUGCAGCAAGGUAAUUGGCAAGGCAGUGAUGCUAGAUGAAAUUAUCAACUAUGUACAAUCAUUGCAACGGCAGGGUGAGUUUUUGAAACUAGCAACAGUGAAUCCAAGGCUGGAUUUCAACAUAGAAGGACUUCACACAAAAGAUAUCCUUCACUCAAGGGCGGUUCCUUCAUCUAAUCUGGCAUUUUCACCGGAGGUGCCUAUGGUUUAUCCCCCAUUUAAUGUAUCUCAACCAGGACUUAUUCAAGGUUCUUUUCCUGGCAUGGAGAGCCAUUCUGAGAUGCUCCGGAGAGCCAUUAAUUCACAACUGACGCCAUUGACUGGGGGAUUCAAGGAGCCUACACAGCUUCCCAAUGCAUGGGAUUAUGAGCUCAACAAUGUUGUGCAGAUGGGCUAUGCAACCAGUGCUCCACAAGAUAGCCAAGAUAUAAAU